UCAAGAAACUUCCACAAUGGGCGAAAGCCUGAUGGAGCGACGUCGCGUGAUGGACGAAGUGCUUCGGCACGUAAACAUCUUUUAUGUGGGAUGAAAUUAUUGACAGUACCACAUGAAUAAGGGGCUCCUAACUCUGUGCCAGCAGGAGCGGUAAUACAGAGGCCCCAAGCGUUAUCCGGAAUCACUGGGCGUAAAGGGUGUCGAGGCGGUUGUAUUAGUCGUUCGUAAAAUCUACGAGCUUAACUUGUAGGCGGCGAACGAAACGGUACGACUUGAGGUUUGGAGAGGUGCGUGGAACUCACGGUGUAGGGGUGAAAUCCGUUGAUAUCGUGGGGAACACCAAAGGCGAAGGCAGCGCAUUGGCCAAAAUCUGACGCUCACACACGAAAGCUAGGGUAGCGAAGAGGAUUAGAUACCCAAGUAGUCCCUGAGCGGGCUGGCAAGGCGCAU
rnacentral:rRNA from 1 species